UACGUAGGGGGCAAGCGUUGUCCGGAAUUAUUGGGCGUAAGCGCGCGCAGGCGGUCAUUUAAGUCUGGUGUUUAAUCCCGGGGCUCAACCCCGGGUCGCACUGGAAACUGGAUGACUUGAGUACAGAAGAGGAGAGUGGAAUUCCGACGUGUAGCGGUGAAAUGCGUAGAUAUGUGGAGGAACACCAGUGGCGAAGGCGACUCUCUGGGCUGU
rnacentral:rRNA from 1 species